rnacentral:rRNA from 1 species
AUGUCUGUAGGUCUGCUGACGGGUCGUCCAGCGGAGGAAAUGCCCGGUUCAUUGGGAGACCUUCUUCCCGAGCUGUUGCAACUACAUGAGCGAGUUCGGCAGGCAAUGCAAGGCGUCGUCCAGGCUAUGUGGCCAUCCCUCUCCAUGCCCGAAGUCCUUGAGGAGCUUGCCAAUAAGCUGGAGGGAGUGCGGCAGCGCUUCCGGUUAUGGAAGAUAUCGGCUUGCCAUCAAGGUGCCAUGGAGGCCUGUGCCAUGGUGAAGACUCGGUACAUGAAGGCUGACCCAAACCACAUGGCCGAGGUCGGCCCUAUAGGUCCGGACGGAAAGGAGAUCCCGGUCAGCUUGGCAUAUGGCCAGGUGGAGCUGGCUGCAAAGUAUUCCCAACAGGACUGUAAAUUAGACCGCCUGUUAGAUGGCAUUGAAGAAGAAUAUGCCGAGUCAGAUUGA